GUCGGUUUAGACAUCGAGGAUGUCCAUUUCUUCCUGACAUAGACUACCUAUAUAAACAUAUAGAGGGUCAGUCGCCACCUGAUGAUGUACUGUACCGUUGACCUCCCUUUGUGUUGUCCAGAUGAGUGAUGGCCGACCAUUAUACAUUACAGUAUGGCCCCAGGCAAAAGUAUUGUCAAAUGGAUGCUGAAGAGGAACUACACUAACAAGUGCAUUGUAGAAGAUCUAGCCGGAGAUAUACGCUUGUUGGAAUGCCUCUUUGAUCUGGACCAUGUCCACUUCACAGCGUGACACGAGGAUCCGACACAGACGGUCAUCAUCUGUUCCAAGACCUUUCAUGGACUU